AGAGUUCGAUCCUGGCUCAGGAUGAACGCUGGCGGCGCGCCUAACACAUGCAAGUCGAACGAUUAAAGCACCUUCGGGUGUGUAUAAAGUGGCGAACGGCUGAGUAACACGUGGGCAACCUGCCCCUCUCAUUGGGAUAGCCACGGGAAACCGUGGAUAAUACCGAAUACUUCGAGACUUCCGCAUGGAAGACUCGAGAAAGCUCCGGCGGAGAGGGAUGGGCCCGCGGCCUGUUAGCUUGUUGGUGGGGUAACGGCCUACCAAGGCAAUGAUGGGUAGCUGGGUUGAGAGACCGACCAGCCAGAUUGGGACUGAGACACGGCCCAGACUCCUACGGGAGGCAGCAGUGGGGAAUCUUGCACAAUGGGCGAAAGCCUGAUGCAGCGACGCCGCGUGCGGGAUGAAGGCCUUCGGGUUGUAAACCGCUUUCAGCAGGGACGAGGCGAAAGUGACGGUACCUGCAGAAGAAGCCCCGGCUAACUACGUGCCAGCAGCCGCGGUAAUACGUAGGGGGCAAGCGUUAUCCGGAUUCAUUGGGCGUAAAGCGCUCGUAGGCGGUCUGUUAGGUCGGGAGUUAAAUCCGGGGGCUCAACCCCCGUUCGCUCCCGAUACCGGCAGACUUGAGUUUGGUAGGGGAAGGUGGAAUUCCUAGUGUAGCGGUGGAAUGCGCAGAUAUUAGGAAGAACACCAGUGGCGAAGGCGGCCUUCUGGGCCAUAACUGACGCUGAGGAGCGAAAGCUAGGGGAGCAAACAGGAUUAGAUACCCUGGUAGUCCUAGCCGUAAACGAUGGACACUAGGUGUGGGGGAAUAUUUCUUCCGUGCCGCAGCUAACGCAUUAAGUGUCCCGCCUGGGGAGUACGGCCGCAAGGCUAAAACUCAAAGGAAUUGACGGGGGCCCGCACAAGCAGCGGAGCAUGUGGUUUAAUUCGAAGCAACGCGAAGAACCUUACCAGGGCUUGACAUCCUGCUGACAGGACCUUAACCGGUCCCUUCUUCGGACAGCAGAGACAGGUGGUGCAUGGUUGUCGUCAGCUCGUGUCGUGAGAUGUUGGGUUAAGUCCCGCAACGAGCGCAACCCUUGCCCUAUGUUGCCAGCACGUGAUGGUGGGGACUCGUGGGGGACUGCCGGGGUUAACUCGGAGGAAGGUGGGGAUGACGUCAAAUCAUCAUGCCCCUUAUGUCUUGGGCUUCACGCAUGCUACAAUGGCCGGUACAGAGGGUUGCGAUACUGUGAGGUGGAGCUAAUCCCUUAAAGCUGGUCUCAGUUCGGAUUGGUGUCUGCAACUCGACACCAUGAAGGUGGAGUCGCUAGUAAUCGCAGAUCAGCAACGCUGCGGUGAAUACGUUCUCGGGCCUUGUACACACCGCCCGUCACGUCACGAAAGUUGGUAACACCCGAAGCCCAUGGCCUAACCGGUUUGUCCGGGGGGAGUGGUCGAAGGUGGGAUUGGCGAUUGGGACGAAGUCGUAACAAGGUAGCCGUACCGGAAGGUGCGGCUG
rnacentral:rRNA from 1 species